AUUGAACGCUGGCGGCAGGCCUAACACAUGCAAGUCGAACGGCAGCACAGAAGAGCUUGCUCUUUGGGUGGCGAGUGGCGGACGGGUGAGUAAUGUCUGGGAAACUGCCCGAUGGAGGGGGAGAACUACUGGAAACGGUAGCUAAUACCGCAUAACGUCGCAAGACCAAAGUGGGGGACCUUCGGGCCGAACACCAUCGGAUGUGCCCAGAUGGGAUUAGCUAGUAGGUGGGGUAAUGGCACACCUAGGCGACGAUCCCUAGCUGGUCUGAGAGGAUGACCAGCCACACUGGAACUGAGACACGGUCCAGACUCCUACGGGAGGCAGCAGUGGGGAAUAUUGCACAAUGGGCGCAAGCCUGAUGCAGCCAUGCCGCGUGUAUGAAGAAGGCCUUCGGGUUGUAAAGUACUUUCAGCGGGGAGGAAGGCGGUGAGGUUAAUAACCUUGCCGAUUGACGUUACCCGCAGAAGAAGCACCGGCUAACUCCGUGCCAGCCGCCGCCGUAA
rnacentral:rRNA from 1 species